GGAGUUUCUGGUAAAUUAUACCACGAGGCUUUUGGUUUCCUUUCUACCGUAAAUUCAGGUCCUGUUUGGCCUUAGAUGCUUGGACGUUCACAACAAUUUUUUACCACGCACACACACAAACAUACAUGUGUUCACCAAGACUGGAAUAAACGAAGUUAAUCCACCUCUCGUUUUAUAUUUUCCACCUUGGGAAAUGGUUAAUACUUGCUGCGAGUAUAUUCAGCAUAUAUAUGAGGCAGUACAGUAAAAAAUUGUUUUUCUACACGUCAUCUAAACGAGCAAGAUUUGUCAUCCGUUCUGUUCAUGACGGAAAAGCGAUCAAGAAAAUUGACUGCCAAAGCUAUGGCUAACUACGAGGAAAGAAUACAGAUACUUGAGUCAAGACUUAAAAAUGAGUGGGACCCUCUUACUAGAAUAUUUGAAGAAAGUGAUAAGUUGGGUUCUGAAUGUGAUAAAAUACAAGUUAAAACUAUCAAAACCAAAGUAAUUGAACAAUUUAGUAAAUUUGAUGCCGUCGCAACAGAAUUUCAGAGAUUCUUGAACCAACUGAGAACACCAGAGAGUGAAGUAUUGUUAAAAACUGUUAUAGAAACAGCGUCAAAUAAUAGACAAGUGACCAAUGAUUUUCUUGAUAAAUUAAGGACACUGAAGUACGAAACCUCAUCAGUUGGAUCAAGAAGUCGUGUAUCAACCAAGUCUAGUCAUCUUAGAUUACAGGUUGCCAAAACCAAAGUUGCCUUUGCAGAACAAGCAGCAGAGCUAGAGAGAAAGAAAGCUCAACUUGAGGAGCAAGAAAAAAUUCGUGCUGCAGGCGCUUUACGCCAAAAAAGUAAAUCUCGAUAUUGACAUUAAACUUCUUGAAGAUAAGAAAGAGGUGGCUUUGGCAGAAGCUGACUUUGAAGAUGACAUUACAGAGUUUGGUGGUUUACCUAGUUCAGAUCCGCAAGAGAGAACAGCUGAGUUUGUUCAGCAGUCUAUAAAACAACCACUAGAUGCGUUAGCACGUGAAUUUGUACCCCCACCCGAAAAACAUUCUCCAUCUACAAGUGACUUUACAAAGUUCUUACUGAAGAAAGAUAUACUAACAUCCAGACUUUCUCAAUUUAAUGAACAACCAGAGACAUAUCCAUCAUGGAAAUGUACAUUCAAGGCUGUGUGUACAGACAUAGGUGCUUCUCCAGAAGAAGAAAUAGAUCUGAUGAUCAAAUGGCUUGGCUAUUCUUCAAAGAAACAAGCAGUCUCUUUGAAAACAGCUUAAAUAAACAACCCAGUUGAUGGUCUUCAAAAAAUAUGGAGCCGGAUGGAUGAACGAUUUGGAUCGCCAGAGAGUAUCUAUCAUGCAACAAUGAAAAAGUUGGAACAGUUUCCGAAAAUAACAACAAAAGAUCCCUCGAAAUUAUAUGAACUGUCAGACAUUCUUUCUGAAAUUGAGGGACUAAAAGAAGACCCAAAAUACUCUUCAACAUUGUCUUACUUUGAUUCCGCUGUAGGGGUUAACCCAAUCAUAUGUAAGUUACCGCACAACCUUCAAGAAAAGUGGACUGGACGUGCUACUGACUACAAGAGGAAACACAGUGUGCCAUUUCCUCCAUUCCAAAUUUGUGCCCAGUUUGUACACGACCAAAGUCAAAUACGUAACGACCCAAGUUUCAACUAUGAUGCUCAGAAAAGUACGACCUCCAAUGUGAACGAGAGGAAAAUCUUUGUUUCUACAAGAAAAACCACCGUUGAAGUGAGAUGUCCAAUUCAUAAAACAAAUCACUCUUUAGAGAAUUGUAGAGUAUUUAAAUGUAAAUCUUUCCAAGAGAAAAGAAAUGUGCUAAGAGAGAAUAAGUUGUGUUUUAAGUGUUUGUCUGAUAAGCAUAUGGCUCGUGAUUGCCAGAGCCAAAUAAAGUGUAGUGUUUGUUCAAGUAGAUAUCAUUGUGGGGCUAUGCAUACAGCAACGUCAGAUAGCUACAAGAGGGCUCCAGAUUCACAAGGAACAGCCAUCCAUCAUGGUGGGGAGGAAGACAGCGGAAGAACAACUGUUGUUAGUUCUUGUACAGAGAUUUGUGGCAAUGACUCUGGAAAAUCAUGUGCUAAAAUUGUUUUAGUAAAUAUGUACACUGUUGAAAAUCCUAGCAAUGUCAUAAAAUGUUAUGCUAUUUUAGAUGAACAGAGCAAUAGGUCUUUGGUGAAACCAGAACUCUUUUCUUUGUUAGGUAUCAGAAGUAAAAGUCAUGAAUAUAUGCUUAAAUCAUGUGGAGGUACUGUCAUGGCCUUAGGUCGUCGGGCUGACCACUGUGUGGUUGAGUCGCUAGAUGGAACUGUACGUUACAAUUUGCCUUCACUGAUUGAAUGUUCAAAAAUUCCAAGUGAUAAGACUGAGAUUUGUACACCAAAGCAUGCACGUUACCAUAAGCAUUUAUGUAAUAUUGCUGAUUGUUUACCUGAAUUUGACCAGAAUGCUAACAUUCUCUUGCUGAUAGGUAGAGACGUGACUGAGGCUCAUCAUGCUAUUGAUCAGGUUGUUGGUCCUCCGGGGGCACCAUUUGCACAAUGUGUGGGUCUGGGAUGGGUUGUUAUUGGGGAGUUGUGCUUAAGACAGAUUCAUGCCCAAGAUAUUGUCAAUGUUAACAAGACUUACAUUCUCAAUGAUGGUCGAACUUCCUUGUUUAAAGCAUGUGAUUGUUUCUCGGCUUCUGUCCAAGAUCCCAUCUUUGUCAAAACCCCAAAUGAUGACAAGAUAUCUCUGUCAGUUGAUGAUAGAGAGUUCCUUCGUGUUAUGGAUAGUCAGUUUCAGAAAAGUCCUGAUGGUAGUUGGGUUGCACCCCUUCCUUUGCGUCCUUUGCGUCCACGGCUACCUAAUAACAGGGCGCAAGCACUCAAACGAGCCAACACUCUUUCCAAGAGCCUUGAGAAAAAUCCUAUUAAGAAAGAGCAUUUCUUUGAUUUCAUGGGCAAAUUACUCAGCAAUGGUCAUGCAGAGAGAGCACCAGUUUUGAGUCCAACUGAAGAAUUUGCCUAUUUUCGGAGUGUACCAUCCCAGAAAACCUGGUCAGGUUCGAGUUGUGUUUGACUCCUCGGUAGUGUUUGAAGGUUUGUCUUUAAACUCGGUUCUUUUGCAAGGUCCUGACUUUGUAAAUAACUUGCAAGGGGUGUUGAUGCGUUUCAGAAAGGACAAAGUUGCUGCGAUUGGGGAUAUUGAGCAAAUGUUCUACUCUUUCAGUGUUCACCAGAAAGACAGAAAUCUUCUGCGGUUUCUAUGGUACAAAGAUAACAACCCUUUAAACCCCUUAGUUGAGUAUCGCAUGUGUAAGCAUGUUUUUGGAAAUAGUCCUUCACCUGCUAUAGCGACAUACGGUCUCCGCAAGUCAGUGGAGAAAUCUGAUCAAGAUGUUCAAAGCUUUGUGUCUCAGGAUUUCUACGUUGAUGAUGGUCUGACGUCAAAGUCCACAGUAGAGGGCGCUGUAGAUUUACUCUUGAGAACUCAGUCAGAUUUGAGCAAAAGUAGGUUACGCCUUCACAAGAUUGCUUCCAAUGUUCCUGAAGUCAUGAAAAGUUUUCCACCAGAAGAUUUGUCAAAAGACUUGAAAGAAAUAGAUCUUGACCGGGAGGAUUUGCCUAGUCAGCGUAGUUUAGGUAUUGUCUGGAACAUCAGUUUAGAUAAAUUUGUUUUCAAAGCUGAUCUGUUGGUUCAACCCGUCACAAAGAGAGGUAUAUUGUCCACAAUCAAUAGCAUUUUUGACCCUCUAGGUUUCCUGGCCCCUGUUGUACUUGAUGGAAGGUUAAUUCUUAGAGAGUUGAUGUCUAGUAAGGUAGAUUGGGAUGACUGUGUGCCAGAGGAUAUUGCAGUGAAAUGGGAAAGAUGGAGACAAAGACUUCAUGAUUUGGAGAUCCUCAACAUCUCGAGGAGUUAUUUCGAUGCUUCACUUAGCCAGAUGGAUAGGGUAGAAUUGCAUCUAUUUUCAGAUGCAUCUGUUAAUGGCAUUUCUGCUGUUGUUUACGUGCAAGGGUACACUAUAAAGGGAGAGAAACACGUCGGGUUUGUUGUUGGGAAGAGCAAACUUGCACCCGAGAAAGGUCAUACUAUUCCUAGGUUAGAGCUAUGCGGAGCUGUUUUAGCCGUUGAAUUGUUUCAAUGUGUGUCAGACAAUUUAGGAGUACAAUUUGAUGAAGUAAAGUUCUAUUCUGAUAGCAAAGUUGUUCUUGGCUACAUUUGUAACCGGUCUAAGAGGUUCUAUACUUAUGUUAGCAACAGGGUCCAGAAGAUCAUUAAUGUAAGCAAGCCUGAGCAAUGGAACUUUGUUCCAUCUGAGAAGAACCCAGCUGACAUUGGAAGUAGAGGAGCAAGUGUCACACAAUUGAGUGAAAGUUCUUGGUUAACUGGUCCUCAGUUUUUGUUGCAUGAGACUGUUUCAAACUUGGAGCACUUUCCUCUUGUGAGCCCUGAGGAAGACCAAGAAGUGCGCAAAGAGGUCUUAGUAAGAGCGACUAAUGUCGUAGAUCAGAAAUCUAGCAGUAGCAUGUUUCAACGGUUCUCGACUUGGCAAAGUUUGAUCCGUGCAGUGUCAAAUCUUAGGCAUAUAGCAGUAUCUUAUCACAAGAACUUGCCAUGUAAAGGUUGGCAUAUCUGUUCAGACUCAAAAGAUGUGGCUUGUCAACAAGGGGCAAGGUUUUGGGUUCUGCAAACUGUUCAGCGUGAGGUGUUUGCUAAGGAGGUAAAGCUUCUUUCAGAGAACCAGAGGCUCAAUAAAGACAGUAGUCUUCUGUCUCUUGACCCAGUAUUGCAUAGUGAUGGUUUGUUACAUGUUGGGGGACGUCUUGGCAGGAGUGAACUGCCUACAGCAGAGAAACAUCCCAUUAUCUUACCUCGGAAGCAUCCAGUGUCACUUCUGUUGGUACGACAUUACCAUAUCUCUGUUUUUCAUCAGGGUAGACUCUUUACUGAGGGGGCUUUGAGAUCUGCUGGAUUUUGGGUUGUUGGAGCUAAACGUUUAGUAGCCAGUGUUAUUCACAACUGUGUGGUUUGCAAAAAGCUUAGAGGUCAUUUUGCCACUCAGAAAAUGUCAGACUUACCCAUUGAUAGAUUAGAACAGGCUUCCCCAUUUAGUCAUGUUGGAGUAGAUGUCUUCGGCCCUUGGGAAAUUGUCACAAGGCGAACCAGAGGGGGACAGGCAGCCUCAAAACGUUGGGCUGUAUUGUUUACAUGUUUAACCAUAAGAGCUGUUCACAUAGAAGUCAUUGAAGAUAUGUCUUAUUCUGCAUUCACAAAUGCCCUGCGGAGAUUUGUAUCUGUACGUGGUAAAGUCAAAGUUUUCCGUUCCGAUAGGGGCACUAACUUUGUUGGUGCUAUUGAUAACAUUCAAGCAGAUGCAAUAAAUGUUGAAGAUGAGCCUACUCAGAGCUUCUUGCGAAAGUCAGGGACAAUUUGGAUGUUUAACAGUCCCCAUAGUUCUCAUAUGGGAGGGGCAUGGGAGAGAUUGAUUGGUGUUGCUCGUAGAGUAUUGGAAGCUAUGAUGUUAAAUGUGAAAACAUUGACUCAUGACGUGCUUACUACAUUGAUGGCAGAGGUGUCGGCCAUUAUCAAUUCCCGCCCAAUUGUUCCUGUGUCCAGUGAUUCAGAUGUACCAGAUGUACUGAGUCCUUCUGCUUUGUUAACCCAAAAGUUGGAGUGUGAUCAACCGCCACUUGGCACUAUUGACAUUAAGGACUUGUAUCGAGCUGGAUGGAAACAAGUUCAGUAUUUGGCUAGUCAGUUUUGGCUUCGAUGGAGGCGAGAAUAUCUGCAAACAUUACAGGAAAGGCGCAAGUGGAAUCAGGAGCAAACUCAGUUGAAAAUUGGUGAUGUUGUUUUGUUAAAAGAUGUUGAGGUUGCUCGCCACUGUUGGCCUAUGGGUAGAGUCACACGGGUUUUCCCAAGUGUGGAUGGUAGAAUUCGCAAGGUCGAGGUUUGUGUUAUUAGGGAAGGCAGCAAGGUAUUUUAUACCAGACCAGUUGUUGAUGUGGUGCACUUGGUAGGAAGUUAAGAUUCCAGUAUUUCCUCAGGAUUUAGAUAGUCUUAUCUAAUUUACAGUGAACUGUCAGUUUUGUUUUUGUUGUAAUUAUUUGCAACAUCUCUUAGAUUUUGGUUGUCUGUGUGAAUACAGCAUUAAGAAAUGCUUUAAGAUGUUAAAGAAUAAUUUGGUAAAAUACUGGCAGUCUUAAGUAAAUUUCAAUGUUUAUAUAGUUAACAUAUAUAGAUUAUUCUAAAUGUUUCUCUAAGAGCCUAACAGUCCAGUCCUUUUUUAAGUAAUUGCAUUCAACUUAUUAGGAAUUCAUUAUAGAAUGUGUUAUUCAUCAUUAUUCAUUUUUCAUUUUGACUGUUAUACUUUUAUAAGACGUCAUUAUUGCCUGUUAAACGUUUAUUGGAGCAUUUUCUACAUUGUACUCCCAUUCCUGAAGGGCGUACAUUGCAGAAAAUGUAUCAGUCAUUAAAACGAAGUGAUCUUGUUAAGAAUUAUGUCAAAUAUGAUGAUUUUUUAUGUGAAUAGUGUUAUUUGAUAAUAACAGGUGGGGAGUAUGCUGAUUCUUUUAAUUUAGUUGUGUGUAACCUUCGCUAUUCGGCACAGUUUUUUGGAGUUUCUGGUAAAUUAUACCACGAGGCUUUUGGUUUCCUUUCUACCGUAAAUUCAGGUCCUGUUUGGCCUUAGAUGCUUGGACGUUCACAACAAUGUAUGUAUUUUAAACUCCCUGACUGUUGUUAUAAAUGUCUUGCUUAAUUCGUCUUGAUAUUUUUUAUAAUCGUCAUUUGAGAUAUGUGAAAGUAGUAUUUGAGACUUCUUCGUAGCCAUCACCCCCUCCUCCGACUCCCCCACCACUCUCCAACCAACCUCAACCACGACAUACAACCCACUUAAACACAAUACAGUUUUAAACCAUACUGCAUACUCUUGUGUAUGUACUUAGAAAUAUGAAUGGGGUUCCCGGGGUUUAAUCACUCCCUGCCCCACCCCAACUACUCCGACUCCCCCACCCCUCUCCAACCACCAAGAUAUACAGCAUAUAACCCACUAAAACACAAUGCAGUUUUGAAGGAACGGCGUAAGAACCUCCUCGCAUACUCUUCUUUUGUACGAACUUUUGAAAAUGAAAGGGGGUCCCGGGUUUUAGUCACCACGACCCCCACCCCCAGCCUCAUCAGGCUUCCCCACCCCUCUCCAACCUCCAACAAUUACGGCAUACAACAUUCGAACACAAUAAAGUAGUAAAUCCGGGCGUAUUAAAGAAAACGCUAUAUACCCCAGAGAAUGGAAGGGAUUUUCGGUAUUUACGGGGAUUUUCGGGAUUUCGGUAAUUCCACCGACCGAUAGUGAUGUAUUACAUAUCUUCUCUUCUGUCCAUCUUAGGGUUGAAAACGUUGAGUUUGUGGGUGAAGUACACCUGUCCAUUCAUGUAUAUAUAUGAUUACCCUUAUGUAUCUAUAAAAUAUUGUGUAUUUAUCAAAUAUUUAUUUUUUUAUUGUUCAUCGACAUAUUUAUAUAUAGAUGAAAACAUAUUUGACAGAUGACAGACAAAACCACAGGGGGCAGAAGCAAACUAUUUGUAAGCUUUCCUAUCCAAUAUGUAUAUAUAGAGAGUAAAUGUAUAUAAUCUCGCUCUCCCUCACUCUCUCUCUCUAAUGUAUAAAAAAUAAUAUACAUAUAUAUAUAUAUAUAUAUAUAUAUAUAUAUAUAUAUAUAUAUAUAUAUAUAUAUAUAUAUAUAUAAUUAUAUAUAUAUAUAUAAAAAUAUAUAGGCUAGGAAAACUUAAAAAAAAGUUGCCUCUGCCCCCUGUGGAUAAAACAUGUAUAAUGUUGUACAUGUAUCCUAAUGAUUUAUAUUUUACUUGAUGUUAUGGUUGCAAAGCUCACUUUUUUUUGUAAAUUUGUAGACUUUAUUUUUUGGUUUUCACUGUUUUCAUUUAGUAAUGCUAAAUAUAUAGUAUGUAUUACAUUUAUAGUAGGCUCUUCUGUGUUUUUCCCCCAGAUAUUCCUAGAGCAAGAAAACAAUGGUGCAGUGCAGUCUACACGUUGCCAAUGCCCUAUGGCUGAGUACAAGAGAGCUAGCAAAACAGAUAUAAAAUGCAGUUGGCUCAAACAUCCGAAGUCAGCACCUCCAAAGACUACAGUUACAAUGACUGACUUAUAUCCCCCAAGGCAACAAGAGUACAG